CUGUCGGAGUCACCAGGGUCUGUUUCAGGGGCUUGUUGCGUCACUGGGCCUGUGUUCCGCCCCUUCCUCACCCAGGCCCGCCUGAGAGAAACCGGGGCCUCUGCCCUGCUGACUGAGCCUAGGCCGUGCCUGAGAACUGAGGGAAACAGGGCCUUGGCCCUCUCUGGCCCAGCCAGGGGUCACAAGGGGAACCCCCGUCCCCGAAGAGGCCACAGGGCCCUCCCUCUUCAGCAUCCUGGAGUUAGCCCCGCCCUCUCCAUGGUUGCUAUUUGGGUUCCAUUGGUGGAGGGAGGAAAAAAAAUGGAGCACAACUGAUUGAUGCCUGUGGAAAAGGUGUGCGAUGUGUAACACCUGUGGACCUCUCACGGCCUGGACGGGGGUAGAAAAGAAAAGCCAGCGCAACUGAUCAAUGCAUUUGGG